AAGGUGAGGCGUCCUCGGCCACGAUUCAC
rnacentral:sRNA from 1 species